GGGUCCUGGAGAACAUUAUGGGAAGCAAAAUAAGCCAGCCCUUGCCUUUAUGCCAUGGAGCAAACAAUGCAAAUGUAAGUGCGUCAAGAGAGGAACUUCGAGGCCGGCAGGUGGUGGAAGGGGCAGCUGAGCAGGGUCGAUGUGAAGACGAAAGGAGACAGUUCCCGACGAGCGUCUAGUGCCGAGUCCUCGGAAGGCCCUGCCGCAGCUGUCUCGGGAGAAGGGACAGGGUCAUGGAGGGGAGAUGGAGAGACAG